rnacentral:rRNA from 1 species
GUGGGGAAUAUUGCACAAUGGGCGAAAGCCUGAUGCAGCGACGCCGCGUGAGGGAUGACGGCCUUCGGGUUGUAAACCUCUUUCAGCAGGGAAGAAGCGCAAGUGACGGUACCUGCAGAAGAAGCACCGGCUAACUACGUGCCAGCAGCCGCGGUAAUACGUAGGGUGCGAGCGUUGUCCGGAAUUAUUGGGCGUAAAGAGCUUGUAGGCGGUUUGUCGCGUCUGCAGUGAAAAUCCGGGGCUCAACCCCGGACUUGCUGUGGGUACGGGCAGACUAGAGUGUGGUAGGGGAGACCGGAAUUCCUGGUGUAGCGGUGGAAUGCGCAGAUAUCAGGAGGAACACCGAUGGCGAAGGCAGGUCUCUGGGCCAUAACUGACGCUGAGAAGCGAAAGCAUGGGGAGCGAACAGGAUUAGAAACCCCAGUAGUCC